rnacentral:rRNA from 1 species
AUUGAACGCUGGCGGCAUGCCUUACACAUGCAAGUCGAACGGUAACAGGUCUUCGGAUGCUGACGAGUGGCGAACGGGUGAGUAAUAUAUCGGAGCGUGCCCAGUAGUGGGGGAUAGCCCGGCGAAAGCCGGAUUAAUACCGCAUACGACCUGAGGGUGAAAGGGGGGGAUUCGCAAGAACCUCUCGCUAUUGGAGCGGCCGAUAUCAGAUUAGGUAGUUGGUGGGGUAAAGGCCUACCAAGCCUGCGAUCUGUAGUUGGUCUGAGAGGACGACCAGCCACACUGGGACUGAGACACGGCCCAGACUCCUACGGGAGGCAGCAGUGGGGAAUUUUGGACAAUGGGCGCAAGCCUGAUCCAGCAAUGCCGCGUGCAGGAAAAAGGCCUUCGGGUUGUAAACUGCUUUUGUCAAGGAAGAAAUCCUCUGGGUUAAUACCACGGGGGGAUGACGGUACCUGCAGAAUAAGCCCCGGCAAACUUCGUGCCAGCCGCCGCCGUAACAC